rnacentral:lncRNA from 1 species
CUAGAAGGGAGGAGAUGCUUUUGAACAGGGUCUGCUAUAUAGCCCAAGCUGGCCUGAAAUUCUCAGUCCUCCUACCGCAGAAUCCUUAGUACUGUGAUUACAGGGCAGCUCACCAACAGACAAGAUACUAGUCUUUGAGAAGACCUUGACUCACAAGACCAUAUAGCUCUUGAGAUCAAGCCCAGUAACAUUAUCAAGAAUGUUAUCACACUCCAUACUCAUGGUCGAACAGCUGGAGUAUGACAGCACUGUGUCCAACAUUAAGAGUUUACCCUGCAUGCACAGUGUUAUCAACUGGCCCUCACUGUGACAGCUUGCCCUGAAGUACAUAAACCUAGGACAUGAUGAUCUACAGCAAGUGCUGACCUGCACACUAUGCUGUAAACUGCAGCAAGAAGUAUGGCUACAGCAGCAACCACCACCCAAAGAAAGAUGUCAAGUAAACAGGGAGCAGCCUGGCCUGCACAUGGCAUCAUGUACACACACACACACACACACACACACACACACAUAUUCUAAAUUGGAAGUUCUAUAAGUACCAUAGGCAUGAACAAUGGGCUUCUUUUUAAACAUUUAUCAGUGGGUGUUAAAAUGUGUGGCAGUCAGAGGCUGAGAGUACUGGCUGUCUCCUUUACUACAUGGGCUCUAUGGACAGAAUUUGGGCUUCAGAGCAAAUACUUUUAUCUCACUGGCCUCCAACAACAGAUUUAGGUUUCUGGGGAUGGGAGGGGGGAUUUAAAUUAUGCUUAUGAGUCUUUUGCCUACAUGUUUAUGUGCCAUAUGCACACCUCGUGCCAGUGGAGGCCAGAAGGUCAUUAGAUUCUCUAUGAGCCACCAAGUAGAUGCUUAAAUUCAGAUCUUCUACAAGAAUAAAGGAGUGUUCAUAAGAUUUCUUUAAACCCAAUGUGAAACAUUUUCAAAUUUAAAAUGACUAUAUCAUCAUUUUAGAGUAAAAAGCUAUUUUUCACUCUUUCCUAAAAAUCGUUUUGAACAACCGCCUAAAAACAACCAUGUAAGUAAUUAUUGAUAGACACAGACUCUAGAAAGCGAAUACAGGAUCAUCAGCAAUUAAAUAUACAUAAUAGAAAGGCUCUGAAUCUAAAUUCCUAGUCAAAGAUUUUUUUAAGAUUAUUUUUAUUUCUGUGUGUUAAUUUGAAUGUCUGCUACAUGUGAGGGAAUAUCCACCAAGGCCAGAGGAAGGUGUCAGAUCUUGGAACUAGAACUGCAGGCAGUUGUGAGUCAUGGGCAUGGGUGCUGGUUACAGGCAGCUGGUGGUCAUGGGCA